rnacentral:rRNA from 1 species
GUGGGGAAUAUUGGACAAUGGGCGAAAGCCUGAUCCAGCAAUGCCGCGUGAGUGAUGAAGGCCUUAGGGUUGUAAAGCUCUUUUACCCGGGAAGAUAAUGACUGUACCGGGAGAAUAAGCCCCGGCUAACUCCGUGCCAGCAGCCGCGGUAAUACGGAGGGGGCUAGCGUUGUUCGGAAUUACUGGGCGUAAAGCGCACGUAGGCGGUUUUGUAAGUUAGAGGUGAAAGCCUGGGGCUCAACCCCAGAAUUGCCUUUAAGACUGCAUCACUUGAACGUCGGAGAGGUGAGUGGAAUUCCGAGUGUAGAGGUGAAAUUCGUAGAUAUUCGGAAGAACACCAGUGGCGAAGGCGGCUCACUGGACGACUGUUGACGCUGAGGUGCGAAAGCGUGGGGAGCAAACAGGAUUAGAAACCCGUGUAGUCC